UACGGAGGGGGCUAGCGUUGUUCGGAAUUACUGGGCGUAAAGCGCACGUAGGCGGCUUUGUAAGUUAGAGGUGAAAGCCCGGGGCUCAACUCCGGAAUUGCCUUUAAGACUGCAUCGCUUGAACGUCGGAGAGGUGAGUGGAAUUCCGAGUGUAGAGGUGAAAUUCGUAGAUAUUCGGAAGAACACCAGUGGCGAAGGCGGCUCACUGGACGACUGUUGACGCUGAGGUGCGAAGCGUGGGGAGCAAACAGG
rnacentral:rRNA from 1 species